rnacentral:rRNA from 1 species
CCUUCGGGAGCCGACGAGUGGCGGACGGGUGAGUAAUGGUUGGGAAUCUGGCUUAUGGAGGGGGAUAACUACUGGAAACGGUAGCUAAUACCGCGUAAUCUCUUAGGAGUAAAGGGUGGGACUUUCGGGCCACCUGCCAUAAGAUGAGCCCAAGUGGGAUUAGGUAGUUGGUGGGGUAAAGGCCUACCAAGCCGACGAUCUCUAGCCGGUCUGAGAGGAUGGCCAGCCACACUGGAACUGAGACACGGUCCAGACUCCUACGGGAGGCAGCAGUGGGGAAUAUUGCACAAUGGGGGGAACCCUGAUGCAGCCAUGCCGCGUGAAUGAAGAAGGCCUUCGGGUUGUAAAGUUCUUUCCGGUGAUGAGGAAGGCAGGCUUGUUAAUAGCAAGUUUGAUUGACGUUAGUCACAGAAGAAGCACCGGCUAACUCCGUGCCAGCAGCCGCGGUAAUACGGAGGGUGCGAGCGUGGAAUCGGAAUAACUGGGCGUAAAGGGCACGCAGGCGGAUUGUUAAGUGAGAUGUGAAAGCCCCGGGCUUAACCUGGGAAUUGCAUUUCAGACUGGCAGUCUAGAGUAUUUUAGGGAGGGGUAGAAUUCCACGUGUAGCGGUGAAAUGCGUAGAGAUGUGGAGGAAUACCGAAGGCGAAGGCAGCCCCUUGGGAAUAUACUGACGCUCAUGUGCGAAAGCGUGGGGAGCAAACAGGAUUAGAUACCCUGGUAGUCCACGCUGUAAACGAUGUUGAUUUGGGGAUUGGGCUUUAAGCUUGGUGCCCGUAGCUAACGUGAUAAAUCAACCGCCUGGGGAGUACGGCCGCCAAGGUUAAAACUCAAAUGAAUUGACGGGGGCCCGCACAAGCGGUGGAGCAUGUGGUUUAAUUCGAUGCAACGCGAAGAACCUUACCUACCCUUGACAUCCAUGGAAUCA